rnacentral:lncRNA from 10 species
UCGAGAGCCCACAGUCCUACCUAGAUUCAGCUUCUACCUUCCUACUUCCUUACUUCCUACUAAAACUACUGGACAGCCACCGAACCUCUCUGGACCUGUUUCCUGCCUCUAGAAAAAGAGAGGUAGUGCUCUGCAGGGCCACGGGAGGACUCAGUGACGACUUGAAAGCAUCAAACACAGUGGAGGGCUCAUACAGGGUGCUCAGUAGAUGGGCGCAUCAUUUUAUAGAAUACUGAGGCCCAGAGAGGGAAGGUGUCUUGUCUGUGGUCGCAUGGGGGCUCAGUGGGAAAGCCGGGACUAAAAGCUGGCCCCAGGCUAGCUUUGUGCCAGGCCAUCCUGCUCUUACACAGGGGCUGAGAACCAGGGGCAGCCCAGGAGUCCUGGAUGGGGCAGCAGUCAUGUUGGAUGGGGCUGGGGUGUUGGCUCUCCCUUUCUGGGCUCUCAGGAGUGGUCAGGGCUAGCCCCAGAUCUCCCAGACCAAGAAGAGGAGCAGCCUGUGGGGAGACACUCAUGCCCUGACAUGAGUCAGUGCAUCAAGAGAGGCCAUCAGCCAGUGGGAUUCAGCAAGCAUGCCUGGCGCUGCCUGGUAGGGUGCUGCCCAUGGGAGGAAGAGAAGAGGAGCUGCCACCCAUUUGGGGCCCUCCUUCUCUGGGUCCUCAGAUUUGCCCUUC